rnacentral:lncRNA from 1 species
UUCCGCCUCCCCUUUUGAAGAUGAACUUGAAGACACUAAGUCAGCUACAGGACCUUUCUGGCCCCUGAAAUAUCACCAUCAGAAAAGUCCAGGAUGGGACUCCGCCAGCGCACAGACAGAAGCAGCUGAAUCAGUGGGUGGUGGCGCCCAGGGAAAGGACACAGGAAACUUUGAGGAGUCCUGCUGAUGGUUUCUUCCCAUAUUUGAAUGAAACACAAAACAAAAAGCUUCAAGCGCCAAGGAGUAGGCAGGUAUGUUUAUGCUGAUGCUAUCUAUAGCUGGUAUUUAUUUGGUUGUUAGGGAAUGGGUUGCGUCCUGCUGCGAACUUUGAAAUUAUGGAACUUUAGAAUGAAUGUUA